rnacentral:lncRNA from 1 species
GGGAGGCGGAGGUUGCAGUGUGCCAAGAUUGCACCACUGCACUCCAGCCUGGGUGACAGGAUGAGACUCUGUCUUAAGGAAAAAAAAAAAAAAAAAAAACACACACACACACAAAAAUAAUUUAUGUAUGCAAAUCAGCUAAAAGUGUAAUUUUUUCUUAUAGUUUGUAUUUUAAUUUAUAUAUAAUGUUACAUCUAAAAGGAAUUCGUUAAUAAAAUUUUUUCUCAUAAUUUGAAAUAGAACACAAUGCCUUUUAAUCCCCUCAAGGAAACAAAUUUUUCCAAAAUGCUUGAUAAAAAGCAGAUUGGAGAGAGAUUACAAAGAUCCUUGAAUGUCAGCCUGAUAAUAUCAAAACUAGUGAAAGUUUACACAACACUAACUGUGUGUCAGGCAUAAUGCUUAGACUCCACAUGGGUUUUUUAAUUCAUUCUUCACAACCA